rnacentral:rRNA from 1 species
AUACGGAAGGUCCGGGCGUUAUCCGGAUUUAUUGGGUUUAAAGGGAGCGCAGGCGGAGAUGCAAGCGUGACGUCAAAUUUCGGGGCUCAACCCCGUCUCGCGUCGCGAACUGCGUCCCUUGGUUGCGGGAAGGGGAGGCGGAACUCGUGGUGUAGCGGUGAAAUGCAUAGAUAUCACGAAGAACUCCGAUCGCGAAGGCAGCCUUCCGGCCCGUCAACGACGCUCAUGCUCGAAGGUGCGGGUAUCAAACAGGAUUAGAUACCCUGGUAGUCCGCACAGUAAACGAUGGACACCCGCGGCUUGGCCUAUAUGGCUGAGCCGCCAAGCGAAAGCGUUAAGUGUCCCACCUGGGGAGUACGCCGGCAACGGUGAAACUCAAAUGAAUUGACGGG